rnacentral:rRNA from 1 species
UACAGAGGUCUCAAGCGUUGUUCGGAUUCAUUGGGCGUAAAGAGCUCGUAGGCGGUUCGGCAAGUCGGGUGUGAAAACUCCAGGCUCAACCUGGAGACGCCACCCGAUACUGCUGUGACUUGAGUCCGGUAGGGGACCACGGAAUUCCUGGUGUAGCGGUGAAAUGCGCAGAUAUCAGGAAGAACACCUAUGGCGAAGGCAGCUCUCUGGGACGGUACUGACGCUGAGACGCGAAAGCGUGGGGAGCGAACAGG